GUGAAUAUUAGGGCGUCCAACUUAACUUGGAGCCCGAACUCUCACUUUCUAACCCUGUGCAUCUGUUUCUGGUCAGUAGCUCUCUCGGGAGUGAACGCCAUUCACUUAAAAACACAAAGUCUAUGAAUGUAUAAAAUUUAUAACAAAACA
rnacentral:misc_RNA from 1 species